rnacentral:rRNA from 1 species
UGGGGAAUCUUGCACAAUGGGGGAAACCCUGAUGCAGCGACGCCGCGUGAACGAUGAAGCCCUUCGGGGUGUAAAGUUCUUUCGACAGGAACGAUAAUGACGGUACCUGGAGAAGAAGCUGCGGCUAACUACGUGCCAGCAGCCGCGGUAAUACGUAGGCAGCGAGCGUUGUUCGGAGUUACUGGGCGUAAAGAGUGCGUAGGCGGCGAGCCAAGUUUGGUGUGAAAUCUCCCGGCUUAACCGGGAGGGUGCGCCGAAAACUGGUUGGCUGGAGUAUGGGAGAGGAAAGCGGAAUUCCUGGUGUAGCGGUGAAAUGCGUAGAUAUCAGGAGGAACACCUGCGGUGUAGACAGCUUUCUGAACCAAAACUGACGCUGAGGCACGAAAGCGUGGGUAGCAAACA